rnacentral:rRNA from 1 species
CCUACGGGGGGCUGCAGUGGGGAAUAUUGCACAAUGGGGGAAACCCUGAUGCAGCAACGCCGCGUGAGCGAUGAAGGCCUUCGGGCCGUAAAGCUCUGUUCUAAGGGAAGAAUCCUGACGGUACCUUAGGAGGAAGCCCCGGCUAACUACGUGCCAGCAGCCGAGGUAAUACGUAGGGGGCUAGCGUUAUCCGGAAUUACUGGGCGUAAAGGGUGGGUAGGCGGCCAUUCAAGUCAGAGGUGAAAGGCUACGGCUCAACCGUAGUAAGCCUAUGAAACUGUAGGGCUUGAGUGCAGGAGAGGUGAAUGGAAUUCCCAGUGUAGCGGUGAAAUGCGUAGAUAUUGGGAGUAACACCAGUUGCGAAGGCGGGUCUCUGGACUGUAACGGACGCUGAGGCACGAAAGCGUGGGGAGCGGACAGGAUUAGAUACCCCUGUAGUC